AAAACUAAAAGAUCCGACAAAAUCCGAUUCUGAGAAAACAAAAUCAACGAUUUCAUACUAAAAGAAAAGGAUUUAAGGGAGAGCGAGAUUCAGAUGGUAGUGCAUGAUGGUAAGAUCAUCAAUGAUGGUCAGAGUUGGAUUGUUCUAUGGAAUCAUCUUUCAUCAUCAUUAUCACCGCUCUCUCCUCUUUAUUAAGAGUAAAACAUCGACUUUA
rnacentral:sRNA from 1 species